UUAUNANAAUAANCCGGNNGAAAAAGAACCCCAACAGGGAUUGCCCUAGUAACGGCGAGUGAAGCGCCANCAGCUCAAAUUUGAAAGCUGCCCUUCGGGUCCGCAUUGUAAUUUGUAGAGGAUGCUUUGGGUGAAAACGCCAGUCUAAGUUCCUUGAAACAGGACGUCAUAGAGGGUGAGAAUCCCGUAUGUGACUGGAAAUGUUAACCUAUGUAAAGCUCCUUCGNCGAGUCGAGUUGUUUGGGAAUGCAGCUCUAAAUGGGAGGUAAAUUUCUUCUAAAGCUAAAUAUUGGCGAGAGCCCGAUAGCGCACAAGUAGAGUGAUCGAAAGAUGAAAAGCACUUUGGAAAGAGAGUUAAAAAGCACGUGAAAUUGUUGAAAGGGAAGCGCUUGCAAUCAGACUUGUUUAAACUGUUCGGCCGGUCUUCUGACCGGUUUACUCAGUUUGGACAGGCCAGCAUCAGUUUCGGCGGCCGGAUAAAGGCUCUGGGAAUGUGGCCUUCACUUCGGUGAAGGUGUUAUAGCCCAGGGUGUAAUACGGCCAGCCGGGACUGAGGUSCGCGCUUCGAAUAUGCAUANCAAUAAGCGGAGGNAAAGNCAA
rnacentral:rRNA from 1 species